UUUGUUUAUUUUCAUUAUUAUGGGAUUUUGGUGUUGCAAAGUUUGUAUCUUAUUGCUUAAUAUGGUAUUGAUGAUUUUUAAGGCAUCUUAGCUUCUAUUCAUGUUCUUCUUUUUCUUGGGCUUAGAAGUUAAUUAACAUUUUUUUUGUAGAUGCCAAGCUAGUUGCUUUCAAGCUACUCAUCUUGCAUAAGCAACUUGAGUAUUGUCAUGCCUCUAGCAAAAUGGUUUUUCUUGUUUAAAGUCAUUUCACACUUUUUUUUUUCAUUAUCUUCCUUUAACUAUAGAUACCGACAGAAGGUGAUCCAAGUAUUUGAGAAAUGAAGCGAGGAUGAUGAUCAACAUUUCAUGAAGCAAGUUCCUUUCUAUAUUUUAUUUAUUACGAGAGAAAAAACAAUUCUCUCUUUUUGUUGUUCAAAUUAAAGAAGCCUCCCUUCUAUUCGAGAGUUAAAUAUACUCCCGGAAAGUUUGAUUAUGUUUGUUAAAAAGAUGGAUCUUAAUCUCUUCACCAUAAGGGAAGCUGUACUUAAUUAGAAUAUAGUUGUCACAUAGUCUUUUGGCUAAUUUUUAGAAACUAAAAGGGGAUAGAGGUUUAUUGUAAGAGGUGGAAGUGGAUAUUAUAGAAAUAAAUAUUUACUAUUAUUUUUACAUUCUUAUUUUUCUCAUUUGGUUUGAUCUAUGCAGGAUAUGAAGCUCCUUACUUGAGGUACUUAAUCUCGAUUUUCUUCCUAAAUUCGGAUAAGAUUUUACUCCUGUGUAAUUGAUAUUAUAGAACUUAUUGAUUUUACAGAUGUUUCCUCCCUGUUCUAGGCGUAUGGUUGAUAUCCUUGUAUACCUAACUUGCUAGAUUCCUACAUAGCCAUGUCUAAUUAAUGUAAAGCGAUUUAAUGUUGAGAUUCUAACUUGCUAGUUUCUUGAGCUGGGAUUUGAUAGUGGUUGUAGAAUCUUAACGGAAUCAAAGGUGGAUUUAAUAGGCUUUUGUUCGUGGCAGAAUCAGAAGGAAGUUUAAUAAGCUUGGUUUGGUUCUUUGUUGAACUGAUAUUGGAUUUAAUGAGCUGGGUUUGGUUCUUGGAUAAACUUGCAUUGGAUUUAGUAACCUUGGUUGUACUUUUUGAGGAAGAUAGUUUGGUAAAAGUAGUUUUCUUCUUAAUAACUGGCUCAUCUUCUUCUUCUGCCUGUAACAUUGAUCUUCUUCUACCAAAACUUUUUGGUAGGUUUACAGAGCUGAAUUUUGAAGUGAAGAAAACCAAGAGAACAAGCAAAAACAAUACCUUUUUCAAACUGAAAUCUUGGAGUGGAGCCAUAUGUUGAAAAUGUACCGAAAUAUAUGUUUGUUUUUCUUUGAUCUCUUAUGAGGCUUUUCCAAGAAUUAAGGUCUUAGUUGGAUCUAGAUUUCAGUAAAAGAAAUGCAUUUAUUGGGAUGAAAAUACACACUUCUGAGUGUGUGGGUGUGUGUGAAAAGUUGUUGUGAAGUAUAGGAAACAGAGAAGACUUUCAAUGCAAGGCACACAAGAUUAGAUCAGCCACAUGCAGCCUUUCCUUUUCUCCAAAUAUUUGGUAGUUGAAACGGUUGCUCCAUGUUGUGGCUUUCCUUUUCUCCAAAUAUUUGGCAUUCUAUAAAUAUGUGGCAUGAUGGAGUUUCCUGGCACAAACUGUCCAAUUGAAGCUGGGAGUGAUUGUACUUGUGUAUUUCAAACCAAAGAUCAGAUUGGAACAUUUAUAUACUUUCCCUCCAUUAGUUUCCACAAGGUCAGUUUGAGUAUUCUCGAAGUAGGUAGUUUGUAUUGGAAUUUUAGUUAAUCAAGUUAGGAAGUAUAAUAUACAUUAUAACAAUUACUAUCCCGAACUCAGAUUGAAAGAAUUUGAUUGAAGUAUUUGGCAUAGUAAGUGUCACGGAAAUGCAUGUGAAGAUUUCUAGGAGGGAAUGGAUUUUGAAUUGGGAGAAUGUUCUUGUGUUUAUUUUCAUAUAUAAGACUAAGACUGAUUAUUCAAUUGAUAUAUCUGCUGCAUUUUGGCCUGCAGGUGCCAUUGAAGUUAAUUCAGAAUGUUGGAAUUUAAGCAUUCCUGAUGCUAGAAGCAUUCUUUAAUUCAACUCAUGUCGAAGAUUGCUAAGAAGAAAAUUAAGGAGGCCGAUGGGGUGGUUUUACUCACCACUUAGUUUUUGGUAUUUUUUUUUUUUGGAAAAUGUAUUGGAUUUUUUUGGUGUUUUAGAAUUUUGGAAGUGGAC
rnacentral:lncRNA from 1 species